GUUGAUCAUAUCAAAUCAUCCAUAGUAGAAUAAUAAUUGUAAUUCGACAAAAUUGAUUGAACCACUAUUUGUCAUUUUCAAAUCAAGUGUCCAAAAUAUAAAAAUUUUCAAUAUUAUCUAUAAAUAUAAUUGUGGACUAAAUACAUGUCCAUUCUAAUAUGACACUAACUCUCUGCUCUAACCAAAUAUCCAAUCUUCUUCAACCUUACCCUAGCUUUAGAGCUUUCUCUACAAAAGGUCAAAACAAGGACUAUCUUACUUCAUAGCCCAA
rnacentral:lncRNA from 1 species